UCUCACCUUGAGGAGGCCUGGGUCCAGUCUGACCUCUCAGGUCGCUGUUCAAAUCUCAGCAACGUGCUCUCUUCCUCUUCUUUAGGGUGCUUGGCUCCUGCAGACUCCCUCCCAUUCUCUACCGGCACCGACCUCAACGGUAAGACUCAGCCUCCUUUUUUAGGACUCCACACUGCUUCUCCAAAGAACUAAGCUGGCUGGAGUCGAGACAAGGCGCCUUCAGUUUCUUCCUUUAUCUCCCGCCCUCCCCGCCCCCAGCUUUUCCUCUCCAGAGUGUGUGACUCAUUGGGUCCACCUUGAAUUCCCCUAGCGACCCACUGCCUUAGCCCGCAUCUCUCUACCACAGGGCACAGCCGUGAUCUUCUGCACAGCCUGCACUCCUCGAAAUACCCUCCUUAAUCAAAGGAUGUCUGCGCGCCGGCGCUCAGCUGACCGCGCCAAAGCAGAGAGGCCUAAGAGUUCCACCCCUCCCGCCCCCUCCCCAGGCUCACAACCUCCCCCAACCCUGUCUUUCCAGAGCAUUAAUUAAAAGCGGAAAAAAGACAGAGGCUGAUGUCAUUGCUCUCAGAUCAUAAACGUAAGAGUCAUCCUGUGAGAAUCCCUGAAAAUGACUUUAAUGAAUAAUUUCAGAGACAGUUAUGGCUUUGGGUGAUUACUGAGCGAGAAUAUGAAAACCAGAUUUUCAAGGGAAGGCGAUGGUCAGGCGGUCUGACCAUCUCCACCCCCCAUUAAAACCGCAUUAGUUUCCCUUCCCAACUACUACUACAAACUUAGAUUUUUGUUUCCAGGGUUUUUUCUUUAAAAC
rnacentral:lncRNA from 1 species